CUGAACAAGAAGUUGUAAAAAAUAGCUACUUUUACUAUACAGUAUUUUGUUUAUACCACAAACUAUUAAAAAAAAAAAAAAACAUUUUAACUUUUCUUUUUGUCUUUCUCUAACUUUUCUGUCUUCUUGGAAGUACAGACUCAAAUUAAAUGAGAACAAAUAUGUCACCAUCAUAGAUGAAACCUAAUCCAACACUUGAAGAUUCAUCUCUCAUCUGCCUCAUCUGCCUCAGUUUCGCCUAUGGCUUGCCAAUAGUACUAGAAGAUUUCUGCUUGAAGUCCACUCAACAGAAUUCAAGCAAACUUUCUGCUUUGACUGAGUGAUGUGCUUCUUCUAGAACCUGCAAAGUCAGUGAAGAUGAAAUGAUUUUCAGCUUUAUAUUUCUUGGUACUGCUUGUAUCUUUGGACUUUCAGUCAUAGCAUAAACACGAGAGUAAUUUCAAAUGUAACAAC
rnacentral:lncRNA from 1 species